GACGAACGCUGGCGGCGUGCUUAACACAUGCAAGUCGAACGGAAAGGCCCUGCUUUUGUGGGGUGCUCGAGUGGCGAACGGGUGAGUAACACGUGAGUAACCUGCCCUUGACUUUGGGAUAACUUCAGGAAACUGGGGCUAAUACCGGAUAGGAGCUCCUGCUGCAUGGUGGGGGUUGGAUAGUUUCGGCGGUUGGGGUUGGACUCGCGGCUUAUCAGCUUGUUGGUGGGGUAGUGGCUUACCAAGGCUUUGACGGGUAGCCGGCCUGAGAGGGUGACCGGCCACAUUGGGACUGAGAUACGGCCCAGACUCCUACGGGAGGCAGCAGUGGGGAAUAUUGCACAAUGGGCGGAAGCCUGAUGCAGCAACGCCGCGUGCGGGAUGACGGCCUUCGGGUUGUGAACCGCUUUCGCCUGUGACGAAGCGUGAGUGACGGUAAUGGGUAAAGAAGCACCGGCUAACUACGUG
rnacentral:rRNA from 1 species